AGUUAGGGGCAUUUGCCUGGGGUAGCAGUUAGGCCGGGGAGAGAGGGGGGGUCUAUUUAGGGUAGGGUUUUUUUUAAGGGUUUGUUUCUCCUUUGAAGGGGAUCUAAAGCCCCAAAAAUGUAUUGAUGAGUGUUCCUCAUCAAGUGCUCCUCUGGUUACUUUUGUAACAUGAAUUACUUUUCUAUUUUAAUGUGUUUUGUUACUAUACUUUCAGACUGCGUAUACCAGGUAUUUCCUGAAUAGUGAACCCUGGAGCUGCUGCCAGAAAGAGCUGUUGACCUUAAACCUUGGUAUUGGCAAUAUAACACCCUCCCAUAUUCAAUUAAAGGCACAAAGAAUGCCCAGACUUGCCACUCCUGUCCUGAAGAAUUGUGAUGAAAUCAGCAGGGCUCUCAGAAUGAUAAUUGUAACUUCUACAAGACAAACAUUUAAGCAGAAUGUUGAUGGCAACUUGUAAUACAGCCUGUUAAGACAGGAUGACUCCCACACAGAGGCAGCAACUUAAUACUAUAUUGGCUAAAGUGAACUAGAACAGUAGCUGAGGCAACUUCCUGAUUUAAUUUGGCAAAAGCAGAACGAGAUUUAGAAGAAUGGCAGCCCGAAGAAGCAAUGAAGUGGGGGCAGAGGAAAUAAGGCCUUGGAUCACUGUUUUCUCAUAGGCAGUCAAGUGAACAGACCAAACACUGGAGUCCAUUACCAAGACUAAAGACAUGGUCAAAAUAAAAAACCUGAAAAAAUGGCAA